rnacentral:rRNA from 1 species
UACGUAGGGUGCGAGCGUUGUCCGGAAUUACUGGGCGUAAAGAGCUCGUAGGUGGUUUGUCGUCGUUGUUCGUGAAAACUCACAACUCAAUUGUGGGCGUGCGGGCGAUACGGGCAGGACUGGAGUACCGCAGGGGAGACUGGAAUUCCUGGUGUAGCGGUGGAAUGCGCAGAUAUCAGGAGGAACACCGGUGGCGAAGGCGGGUCUCUGGGCAGUAACUGACGCUGAGGAGCGAAAGCGUGGGGAGCGAACAGG